GACAGAGGGUGCAAACGUUGUUCGGAAUUACUGGGCGUAAAGCGCGUGUAGGCGGCCAUCUAAGUCGGGCGUGAAAUCCCACGGCUCAACCGUGGAAGUGCACUCGAAACUGGAUGGCUAGAGUCCUGGAGAGGGAGGUGGAAUGCUUGGUGUAGAGGUGAAAUUCGUAGAUAUCAAGCGGGAACACCGGUGGCGAAGGCGGCCUUCUGGGACCAGUG
rnacentral:rRNA from 1 species